UAAUAAGACAUGCUCUUCGCGUAUAG
rnacentral:piRNA from 1 species